GUGAAUCAUCGAAUUUUUGAACGCAAAUUGCACUCUCCUCGGAGAGUAUGCCUGUUUGAGGGUCAGCCUAUAAAAAAUCGACAUCGUUGCUGUUUCGCGGUGACGUUCGUCGGAAAUUGGGUCAUCUUAAAUCCUUUUGGCUUUAAGCGACUUAAAAUUUUCUUUUUGUUCCCAUUAAGUUUCUUAAAUUCUUUUUUUUUCCACGUUUAUGUUUUG
rnacentral:misc_RNA from 1 species